rnacentral:rRNA from 1 species
UACGAAGGGGGCUAGCGUUGCUCGGAAUUACUGGGCGUAAAGGGUGCGUAGGCGGAUAGUUUAGUCAGAGGUGAAAUCCCGGGGCUCAACCUCGGAACUGCCUUUGAUACUGGCUGUCUUGAGUAUGGGAGAGGUGUGUGGAACUCCGAGUGUAGAGGUGAAAUUCGUAGAUAUUCGGAAGAACACCAGUGGCGAAGGCGACACACUGGCCCAUUACUGACGCUGAGGCUCGAAAGCGUGGGGAGCAAACAGG